CAGCCGCCGCGGUAAUACGUAGGGUCCGAGCGUUGUCCGGAAUUAUUGGGCGUAAAGAGCUCGUAGGCGGUUUGUCGCGUCUGCUGUGAAAACCCGAGGCUCAACCCCGGGCCUGCAGUGGGUACGGGCAGACUAGAGUGCGGUAGGGGAGAUUGGAACUCCUGGUGUAGCGGUGGAAUGCGCAGAUGUCAGGAAGAACACCGAUGGCGAAGGCAGAUCUCUGGGCCGUUACUGACGCUGAGGAGCGAAAGCAUGGGGAGCGAACAGGAUUAGAUACCCGCGUAGUCCCUGUCUCUUAUAA
rnacentral:rRNA from 1 species